AUGUUCGCAGCCAAUCCGCAGGCGCGGCGGCGGGUCGCGGGUCGUGGGUCGCGGGUCGCGGGUCGCGGGUCGCGGGUCGCGGGUCGCGGCGGAGACUGGGCGCUGAGGAAAGAUCUAGGAGAGAGGAAGAAAUGCUGCCGGGAGGAGGGGAUGGCUGCAGCAGCAAAGACCUUGGGAGAUGCUGGGACCCAGGAUACAACACAGAAGGUUUUGACUUAGAUAUGGGCACCAAAAGCCCCUUGACAGCGCCUGGAGGGAAGAUGCCUGGCUGUCACGUGGGAAGCUGCGUUUGCUUUGGUUAGCUACAAAGCAGGCCCAUCAUGCAUCUGUAAGAAAAUGACUGGGGUGUAGGCCCCAGCCUCUAAGCUGAGUAAGAUGCCCUCUCAGUUCUGGUCCUCUGGGAAGCAAGACAGAUGGAAUUAGGAACACCCAAGACUGACACCCUACCUAUGUGCAGCUGUUGGCUGGAGCUGCCUGGGAAGAGCUUGUCCUCAGCCCAAAGCCUGCAACAGCUAGGAUCAGGGCUUACCUCUCACAGAAGAGGGUCAGCAACUCUCUGUGGGAUGAAGACACGAGCCCACUCGACCUGAGAAGUUUGGUGUUUCAAGCGCUGAUCUGAAACCUCCUGGCUCCGUGGAAGAUGGGAACUCCUGAGACAUCCUCUUCCUCUCAGUUUUGCAACUGAGUGGUCCUCGGGCCGCUUGUGAGCACUGGACCACUGGAUGGAGCAGGCUGCAGCCAAUUAGCUGGCACGGGGCUCCGACUGAAAAUCGUCUUGGCUGGUGCCACAGAAUCGGCCUGAAAACAAGAUACCGCCUAGAGCAAGGCACCCAGGGGAGCCAAGUAGGAAAAUGCAAUGAAUUGAUUUUAAGUAGCUGCAGCUGUGAUUAGAGUAUUUUUAGCCACAGGACUCAACUAGCUUUCAAAACCUGCUAAUACGAGCCCCACUGUAGCCAGCACAAAAAUUUGGUUUUCAGUUUGACACCAGGAAUUUGCUUAGCUAGGAGCUGGCUUAGGAGGGACAUCAGGAGAGAACAUUUUCUACUACAAGUUGAAGAUUGUUCUGUUUUCUAGCUGAAUUAUGAAGGAAGAUGACUAUUAAAUGCCCGCCAGCAUACUGGGAUGCACACCUAGCAUUUUUGGGAAAAAAAAAAAAAAAAAAAAAUCAUACCAUCUGUCUUCUGUUGCCUCUAGCUCAGCAUCAUGUAUGUAUUUUGGGCAAAACUAAUCAUUUCACACCACUAAAGAGACACAGAAUCUAAUGAUGAUUCCAACAAUACCCACCCCUCUAACACGCCUUGGUGUAUUUUCUGUGAGAAGCAGCUACCGGAGACCGAAAGGACUGCAACCGUCCCAGCACUGUGCACGGGAGAGCCGGGCGAGGCCCUGCUGGGACUGCAUGGCCCGCUGCUUCCUACAGGCUCCAGGGCUGCCCAGCAGGCAUGGCAUGGAAGCCAACAUGGGGAGGCCAGUGGGGGCACUGGGACAGUUUCCUUGACCCUGUCUCAACCCAGAGAAAGGGACCAGCAGGUGAAAACAUCUUCAUGAAAGGGAUGAAAAAGGAAGGGGCUUUAGGGGUAGGGGCUGCCUUGUGGCAAAGCCAGCGUUUCCUCAGGCAAACAGACAGAGUCUUGAUGCACAGUGAGAGCCAGUCCGUCUUUACUGGAGUGAGUGCGGGAGACAAACAGUUUACAACGACCUCUAGCAUUGUCUUCACCAUUUGAUAAAAAGUUCACUAUUAUAUUUAUUGUAUAAUGAAGAAAAACAACACAUUCAGGGAAAAAUUGAGAUUAACUUAUUUUUCUUAAAAGGUUCAUCUCAAGGAUGGCAACAAAGUCCAGCUUGUGCCGCCAAACGGUUUUACAUGAUCAAACCGUGUACAGCUUCUUGUGUGAACUGUUGACUACAAACAUUUACCAAAUACAUAAAUCUCUUUUAAAAAAGCCAUUUUAAAUAUAGCAAAGCAGUGUCUUCUUGCACAGCAAAGUGAAGAAAGUUUCUACAGAGAAAUAGAAGUUUUACAUUUGUAAAAUCUUUUUCACAUUCUAAUCAUCUAGCUUCUUAUAAUCCAAUGCCAGGAGUUUUCAGGUUCCUUAUUUACUAUGUAUUUCUUGUGCGCGUGAUGGUUAAUAUAGAAAUUAUGUUAAUGCAUUACUGGUUGUCCUUAAAGGAAAUGGUAAAAUAUGUAUUGUUCUUUUCGAACAAACCCCUGAUUUAGUCUAUAACACAAUGGACAGAAUUGGGCUCAAAAGAUGGAGUUCUGAUUGGGACACCUGUGUAGACACAGUGGUGACUUGCACCGCAGUGGAGCAGCGGUUAGAGUUCUGAAGAAGUACAGCUGUUGGAAACUGUACUUUAACCAGUGCAAUUUACUCUAAGCUUUUUUUGUUUUUGUUUUUUUAGUAAUAAAAUACUUCCGGAGGGA